UCAUCUAAUUAUUCAUUGACAUUCAAGUUCCAAUGAACCAUUUCAUACAAUAGUCAUUCCAUACAUCCACAUUCAUUCAUUUUCAAUCAUACAUUAACUCACUACAAUAAUGAUGGUCCAUUUCAAUACAAACUUUACAUAACCAAUCCAUUAUUCCAAGUAAUCCAAAACAUAAACCAAUUGCCAUACAAUUCAAACAUUUUCAAAUACAAAGAAAAUCACAAAUCCAUCGCAUGACAUUACAAUACCAUUUCCCUAAACCACAAAAUUAUGGUAGCAUCAUACAUUACACAUCUAACUCCAAAAUUGGAACAUUUCAAUGCACUACAAUAACAAGUCCCUAACUAGUUUAAUCAUCUUAGCGAAGUCUAUAAAAACCAUGAUCAAAUGCAAAAUGAUCCAAUUCCACACAUGAGAGCCUACCAUGAUCCAUCCUAGCCAUCCCACAAACCCAUAGCCAAUGCACUUCACAAAAACAGAUAACAACAGCCAAAGCAUGUCCAAACUCGAGCAAGCAAAAUUAAAGCAUCCUUGCAUAAACCAAAGCAGUUCAACAACGCACUCCAUACCAAGAUCCUUGCAUUUUAAUUUGAAUUGCAUUUAAGUCUAAACAUAUUACAUUUUAGAAUUUCAUCUAACAUUUCAAGUCAGCAAAACAGAACUUGCAUUUUAACCUGCAUUCAGUAACACCAUUGCAUCACAAAUAGUUUCAUGUCAAAUUUCACUUGUAAAUCGAAUUUCAUGUCAAUUUCAUAUUCACAGAUAAACAAACAGAUCCCUGUAUCUUGAAUCUCACUCAAGCUAAUUCGAAUUUCAUUUAAUAUUUCAAUUCACCAAAACAGAUCAACACAAAACAACGUUUACAUUUCACUUUCAUUUAACUUGGAUUUCCACUGAAUUUCCCUCUAACAAACAUUUUCAUUUAUAACUGAAAACUGAAUUUCAUUCAAAUAUACAUUACAUUUCAAAAUAGAUUCGAAACUCUAUAAAUAUCCUCCAAUUCCCAGAAUCAUAAUCCACACUUCAUUUUCACAUAAAUUAUGAGAUUCACCAUUCUCACGAUCUCGAUUUUUCUCUCUUAAUUCCCACCAAUCACUUAGAGCUCCUUCGAAUUACUCAUUGAAGCUUCACUUUAAAGCUUCAAUAGAGUAGAGCUAGGCCUCACAUUCUCUCUUUCUCUCUCACAGAUUCAUCGAUUCAGAUUACGGGUUUUCUUUAGAAGAAGUUACAAGAAGAAGAAGAAUGAGAAUACACAACAGUUAGAUUCAAAGUUCAGAGGAUUCACCUGGAUUUCUGUUGAUCACUGCGCGUGUUUCACCGAUGAGUUCACAAUUUUCUCCAUUGUUUGUUUUGAUUCUUGUUACCAUGAUGUGAUUAGAGGUUAGGGGAACCAAAUCUCUAAUCCCCGGUGCUUUGAUUCCUAACGGGCGCCAUUUAAUUUUGAUUUCAUCAAGCUAGGGUUCUUCGGUUGUCACCUUCGAUGCAGACUUAUCUGUUGGAAUCAGAUGGUUUUGUUUUAGCAUUUGGCCUAAGAUUGGAAUUUAGGUUCAGAUGCUGAUGUCAAAUUAGAUUUUGUGGAGCCUCAUUCGAUAGAGACAGCCUCCAGCACAACGGAGGGAGAACAAAGCAUGAACCCAAUUUCGAGGGAGAGAGUGAACGCAUCUGAGCUUGAGUUUUGAGUUUCAUGUUUAACAGUCAUAUCACUUGUUUUUUUCCAUGUCUUCAUUCAUUAGUUGACAUGGUAGGUACAUGAUGACUCAGAUCCAUGUCAUAUUAGCCGUAUCCGCUUGUUUUUGCUUGAUGCAUUCCUUUUGGGCCAUGUCUUGGGCUUUUUUGACCAACAUUGUUGAUCGUUGCAUAGUUUCUGCUUGUG
rnacentral:lncRNA from 1 species